rnacentral:tRNA from 1 species
GGGCUUUUGAGCGAUAUUAUAGGCUCUCAUAACGGAGUGGUCGCGUGUUCGAAUCACGCAGGACCCACCA